UCUCGAUGUAGCUCAGAGGCAGAGCGCGUGGUUUGGGACCAUGAGGCCGGGAUUUCGACAUUCCCCAUCGAGACCAA
rnacentral:tRNA from 1 species